rnacentral:rRNA from 1 species
GAUGAACGCUAGCGGCAGGCCUAACACAUGCAAGUCGAGGGGUAACGUAGUUUGCUUGCAAACUGACGACGACCGGCGCACGGGUGCGUAACGCGUAUACAAUCUACCUUUUGCUGAGGGAUAGCCCAGAGAAAUUUGGAUUAACACCUCAUGGUAUAUAGAGAUGGCAUCGUUUUUAUAUUAAAGGUUACGGCAAAAGAUGAGUAUGCGUCCUAUUAGCUAGUUGGUAUGGUAACGGCAUACCAAGGCAACGAUAGGUAGGGGCCCUGAGAGGGGGAUCCCCCACACUGGUACUGAGACACGGACCAGACUCCUACGGGAGGCAGCAGUGAGGAAUAUUGGACAAUGGGCGGAAGCCUGAUCCAGCCAUGCCGCGUGCAGGAAGACUGCCCUAUGGGUUGUAAACUGCUUUUAUAUAGGAAGAAACCCACGCUCGUGCAGUGUGGCUGACGGUACUAUACGAAUAAGCAUCGGCUAACUCCGUGCCAGCCGCCGCCGUAACAC